rfam:Ailuropoda melanoleuca scaffold2662_3, whole genome shotgun sequence.
GCCUGGGUGGCUCAGUAGGUUAAGCGCCUGCCUUCGGCUCAGGGCGUGAUCCUGGAGUUGUGGGAUCGAGCCCCACAUCAGGCU